rnacentral:rRNA from 1 species
AUUCCGGUUGAUCCUGCCGGAGGACAUUGCUAUUGGGAUUCGAUUUAGCCAUGCUAGUCGAGCGAGUUCAGACUCGCGGCGAAUAGCCCAGUAACACGUGGCCAAGCUCCCCUUCAGUCAGCGAUACCCUCGGGAAACUGAGGUUAACAGCUGAUACAAAACGCCAGCUGGAAUGCGGCGUUUCAGAAAGACAUCGCUGAAGGAUGCGGCUGCGGCCGAUUAGGUAGACGGUGGGGUAACGGCCCACCGUGCCAGUAAUCGGUACGGGUGAUGAGAGUCAGAGCCCGGAGACGGAAUCUGAGACAAGAUUCCGGGCCCUACGGGGCGCAGCAGGCGCGAAACCUUUACACUGCACGGAAGUGCGAUAGGGGAAUCCCAAGUGCGAGGGCAUAUUAGCCCUCGCUUUUCUCGACUGUAAGGUGGUCGACGAAUAAGAGCUGGGCAAGACCGGUGCCAGCCGCCGCGGUAAUACCGGCAGCUCAAGUGAUGUCCCAUAUUAUUGGGCCUAAAGCGUCCGUAGCUG